rnacentral:rRNA from 1 species
AGUGUAGAUUCAGAGUUUGAUCCUGGCUCAGGAUGAACGCUGGCGGCGUGCUUAACACAUGCAAGUCGAACGAUGAAGCCCAGCUUGCUGGGUGGAUUAGUGGCGAACGGGUGAGUAACACGUGAGUAACCUGCCCCCGACUCUGGGAUAAGCCCGGGAAACUGGGUCUAAUACCGGAUAUGACCAUGGAACGCAUGUUUUGUGGUGGAAAGAUUUAUCGGUGGGGGAUGGACUCGCGGCCUAUCAGCUUGUUGGUGAGGUAAUGGCUCACCAAGGCGACGACGGGUAGCCGGCCUGAGAGGGUGACCGGCCACACUGGGACUGAGACACGGCCCAG